rnacentral:rRNA from 1 species
GACGAACGCUGGCGGCGUGCUUAACACAUGCAAGUCGAACGGAAGGGCCCUGCUUUUGUGGGGUGCUCGAGUGGCGAACGGGUGAGUAACACGUGAGUAACCUGCCCUUGACUUUGGGAUAACUUCAGGAAACUGGGGCUAAUACCGGAUAGGAGCUCCUGCUGCAUGGUGGGGGUUGGAAAGUUUCGGCGGUUGGGGAUGGACUCGCGGCUUAUCAGCUUGUUGGUGGGGUAGUGGCUUACCAAGGCUUUGACGGGUAGCCGGCCUGAGAGCGUGACCGGGCACAUUGGGACUGAGAUACGGCCCAGACGCCUACGGGAGGCAGCAGUGGGGAAUAUUGCACAAUGGGCGGAAGCCUGAUGCAGCAACGCCGCGUGCGGGAUGACGGCCUUCGGGUUGUAAACCGCUUUCGCCUGUGACGAAGCGUGAGUGACGGUAAUGGGUAAAGAAGCACCGGCUAACUACGUG